AUUGAACGCUGGCGGCAUGCCUUACACAUGCAAGUCGAACGGUAACAGGUCUUCGGAUGCUGACGAGUGGCGAACGGGUGAGUAAUACAUCGGAACGUGCCUAGUAGUGGGGGAUAACUACUCGAAAGAGUGGCUAAUACAGCAUGAGAUCUACGGAUGAAAGCAGGGGAUCGCAAGACCUUGUGCUACUAGAGCGGCCGAUGGCAGAUUAGGUAGUUGGUGGGAUAAAAGCUUACCAAGACGACGAUCUGUAGCUGGUCUGAGAGGACGAUCAGCCACACUGGGACUGAGACACGGCCCAGACUCCUACGGGAGGCAGCAGUGGGGAAUUUUGGACAAUGGGCGCAAGCCUGAUCCAGCAAUGCCGCGUGCAGGAUGAAGGCCUUCGGGUUGUAAACUGCUUUUGUACGGAACGAAAAGACCUGGGUUAAUACCCUGGGGUCAUGACGGUACCGUAAGAAUAAGCACCGGCUAACUACGUGCCAGCCGCCGCGGUAACAC
rnacentral:rRNA from 1 species